rnacentral:rRNA from 1 species
UACGUAGGGACCAAGCGUUGUUCGGAUUUACUGGGCGUAAAGGGCGCGUAGGCGGCGCGGUAAGUCACUUGUGAAAUCUCUGAGCUUAACUCAGAACGGCCAAGUGAUACUGCAGUGCUAGAGUGUGGAAGGGGCAAUCGGAAUUCUUGGUGUAGCGGUGAAAUGCGUAGAUAUCAAGAGGAACACCUGCGGCGAAGGCGGGUUGCUGGGCCGACACUGACGCUGAGGCGCGAAAGCGUGGGGAGCAAACAGG